CAGAUACUGAGGCAGUCCCCCGGGCGCCAGCCCGGCCCCGAGAGAAGCCCCUAAUCCGCAGCCAGAGCCUGCGUGUGGUCAAGAGGAAGCCACCGGUGCGGGAGGGCACCUCGCGCUCCCUGAAGGUUCGGACGAGGAAAAAGACUGUGCCCUCAGACGUGGACAGCUAGGGUCUGCUGCAUCUGCCCCCUUCUUACCUCGUGCCCUGCAGGGCUCCAGGGCUAUUUGGAGGGACCUUGGGCUGCACAUCUGGCCUGCCUGCACCAGCUGCCUGGGCCCCACCCUCCUGACUCCUGCUGAUGGUUAAGGGCCGGGAGCAGAUGCUGCCAAGGCCACAUGCAGGGAUGCACCCACAAUGUACCAAAGCAGGCUGGGCCCAGGGUUCUAUUUAUUGCCUUGCUCUGCCCUCUCCCUUCCCCGGUUGUGGGACAAGAGCCCUCCCUGAACCCCUGCAACCCUCCCUGAACCCCUGCAAAUGAAACCAAACGUCCACCUGGGUGUGUUCAUUCCUUCCUGUCCUUCAAAGUACUUGAUAGCCUUUCAUAAGGCCUGGCACAUGUGUCCUGGUUGUGUGUGUGUGUGUUGGUGAGUGAGGUCAGGUUUGCGAGUGUUUUGAUAAAUAAAUACAUAAAGGG
rnacentral:lncRNA from 1 species